UUGAACAUUUUUGGUAGGUUGCUGACCAGCAAUCAGCCAUGUUUGGAGAGUGCUGCUUCCAGACAGGUGAUGUGAAAUUAACCAUGGGAACUGGGACAUUUUUGGAUAUUAACACUGGAAAUAGCCUUCAACAGACUACUGGAGGCUUUUAUCCAUUAAUUGGGUGGAAGAUUGGGCAAGAAGUCGUAUGCUUAGCUGAAAGCAAUGCAGGAGACACUGGUACUGCCAUAAAAUGGGCUCAGCAGUUAGACCUUUUCACAGAUGCUGCUGAGACUGAAAAAAUGGCCAAAAGUUUGGAGGAUUCUGAAGGAGUUUGUUUUGUUCCAUCUUUUAGUGGAUUACAGGCUCCAUUAAAUGACCCCUGGGCAUGUGCCUCUUUUAUGGGUUUGAAGCCUUCCACCAGUAAAUACCAUCUUGUACGAGCAAUAUUGGAGUCAAUAGCUUUCAGAAACAAACAGUUAUAUGAGAUGAUGAAGAAAGAGAUUCAUAUUCCUGUAAGAAAAAUCCGGGCAGAUGGAGGAGUUUGUAAGAAUGGUUUUGUCAUGCAGAUGACUUCAGACCUGAUUAAUGAGAAUAUAGACAGACCUGCCGACAUUGACAUGUCAUGCCUGGGUGCAGCUUCUCUAGCUGGCCUUGCUGUUGGGUUUUGGACUGACAAGGAGGAACUAAAGAAACUGAGACAAAGUGAAGUGGUUUUCAAGCCACAGAAGAAAUGUCAAGAAUAUGAAAUGAGUCUGGAAAACUGGGCCAAAGCAGUGAAACGCUCCAUGAAUUGGUAUAACAAGACAUAACACUAAAUGAAAUGAUCAAAACCAUAGGUAGCUGGUUUAUGUGACGUGCAGAUGAGAUGAAGCUCAGGGAUAACCAAUAUGACAAUGACUAAGAGGAGAAAAUUUUAAAUAAGCUUCAUAACUUAAGAAGCAUUGCUUUUAAAAAAACAAAACGGAACAAAAAACUCUUAUUUUUUUCCCCUAAACCAUGGUAAGGCAGCAAUACCUUAAAACUUUAUAUCUUCUAUUUUGUAGCAAAUUCCAAAGGACGUUAGUCAUUUCCAACCAUAUUUUGACAGUUAUGGGUCCUCUUCCUUUUUAUACUGGGUCAGUGGUACAUAGGAACAUAAUGAUUUACCAUCCAAGCUAAUAGUUCUGGGUCAAGUACCAUGCACAUAUUGUUCCAAAAUUAUGUGAAACGUAUUUCUUUAAUUCUUUAAGUGGGCUAUUUGAAGUACAUAUAGCUAAAAAGAAAGAAUAACUGAGAAAAUGUGGAAUUUUGAAACAUUAAUAUUUUAUGUUUAAAACCAUAAUUUCCUAAUACUAUAUCCAAAUAUGAGCUUAAUAUGUCCCUCUCAGAUAAGCUUAUGAGUUAGUUAAUGCUUUCCUUUACUGGUCUUAAAGACACUGCCUUAAUUUUUCCUUGUUCAACCAAAAUCUGAGCAUUCUAUGUUGAAAACACUGAAAAACUAAUUUUAGUUAAUGAACUAGAAAGAAUAUUGAUUUUUAAGAAACAGAAAAAUACUACUUAUUUUCCUUCUCAAAUAACGUUUCUUUCAAAAACUUCUGGCUGAAGUAUAACAUGCUGGUAGUUAACAUAAAUCGUGUCUUUCUCUUGUUCUUUAUCUUUCUUCGUUGUUUAGAUGCUUGUAUAAAUGUCUUUUGUUUUUAUUAAGUGCCUAAUUGACAGAGCUUAAUUUGAAGAAGUGCCCUAAUUUAUUGACCACUUAAGAAUUGCCUUUAUUGGGGUAUUUUAUUUGUUCCUGCGUCUUUUUGAUGUUUGUUCAGUCUACUCAUCCCUCUGAGUAUGUGCGGGGGAUAGCUGAUAGAAGGGAGGAGAGUGUGUCUAUGCUCAGGAUUGCCCUUCAGCCACUCAGCCAGAGAUCCACAGGGAGCAGCAAGGACAGUUUCACAUGCUCAGACUUUCUUGCAAGAAACAGUGAGGAGGAGUAAGUCGUGCGUAGUGUCAAGCUGGAUGUAGAAUUGUCCUAAGGCAGUUGACCCCACCUUCCAACAUGUUUUCACUUUAUUUGCCCCUCCCUACAUUUGGGGUAGGUUCCAUUUGGAUUUGCAGCAAUAAUGACUUUAUUUCUCUCUUGGUCAGGAUUUGGCACAUAAAAUCCUUUUAUUAUAGAACUAGCUAUUUUAGUUACAUAGUAAUGUAACUAAUGGAGAGAUUUAUAGAGAAUUUUGUUUUUGCUGUCAUAUAUGUCCAUUUUGGAGACAGAUAUGAUAGAACUAGAAAUUAAGUUGCAUUUCUGCAAGUGCCAUUUGAAUGAACUUCAAGUAUCUUCUUAAUUAUUAAAUUUUCUGAUGAAGGCAUUGUAACAAAUAUAUAGUAUCAUUAAAUCUACUAAUUAAGAUUUGGAAAUAUUUUUGUUAUUAAUAAAUAGAAGUAUUUUAUUUACUGUAAAAAUCAAACUUCAAUAUGUAGAUAAAUCUUAUUCUUUUCAUUCUUUCCCCUGUUUACAUCCUUUUUACAAAGCUUAGUCACCAAUUAAAGCUUUCCUAUC
rnacentral:sRNA from 1 species